GACGUGCCUGUCACGUGAAUCUACCACGUGACUCUGUCAUCACUUUGUGUUUAUGAAUAUAUAACAUUUGAAUAAUCAGCAUAUCAUAACAGCUGCGAGCUCUUGUGAUAUAUUAGCUGAAAUAAUAAGCUUAGACACUAAGCUCGUCCCCCGGGGUUCGGAUGCCACCGCCGCCCUGCAACCUUUGAGCAACUCGGGAGGAUCCGUCUUCAGCCAGGCCCACCUACUGGCUGGGGAAGGACACCCUGAGGGUGUCUGCCAAACUGUUUGCGGAGAAUCGCCGUCGGCUGUGCCAGGGGCUGGGUGCCGCCGGAGCGCCCCCAGGAGCGGUGGUCCUCUUGCAGGGCGGGGAGCAGAAGCAGCGGUACUGCACCGACACGGACGACGUCUUCAGACAGGUGGGAGGCUUCCCGUCUGGCGCCUAGGCCUAGCCUCCACCUCCAGCGCCCUGCUGCCUCAGCGAGGUCUCUCCGUCGGGGGAAUAGAUCUCAUACUUCAUGCAUGGAGGAGGGAAAGAUUUAAUUAUUCUAAAUCGGUCCUCGCCAAAAGGAGAAAGUGUCAGUGGCUAGGCUGAUUAUCAGCUACACUUUAUCUUUGUCUUCCUUUGUGCAGAGCAGGGAUGUGAUAUUGAGCUUGCCCAAAAUGUUCUGGCAAUAUGGGGGAAAAAUACAUGUCUUAAUCAGUACCAGACAUAAUAUUCCGU
rnacentral:lncRNA from 1 species